rnacentral:rRNA from 1 species
AUUGAACGCUGGCGGCAGGCCUAACACAUGCAAGUCGAGCGGAUGAGGAGAGCUUGCUCUCUGAUUUAGCGGCGGACGGGUGAGUAAUGCCUAGGAAUCUGCCUGGUAGUGGGGGAUAACGUCCGGAAACGGGCGCUAAUACCGCAUACGUCCUACGGGAGAAAACAGGGGACCUUCGGGCCUUGCGCUAUCAGAUGAGCCUAGGUCGGAUUAGCUAGUUGGUGAGGUAAUGGCUCACCAAGGCUACGAUCCGUAACUGGUCUGAGAGGAUGAUCAGUCACACUGGAACUGAGACACGGUCCAGACUCCUACGGGAGGCAGCAGUGGGGAAUAUUGGACAAUGGGCGAAAGCCUGAUCCAGCCAUGCCGCGUGUGCGAAGAAGGUCUUCGGAUUGUAAAGCACUUUAAGUUGGGAGGAAGGGCAGUAAGUUAAUACCUUGCUGUUUUGACGUUACCGACAGAAUAAGCACCGGCUAACUUCGUGCCAGCCGCCGCGGUAAUAC